UCUGACUCAUAUGUGCGGGUGCUUGAAAGC
rnacentral:piRNA from 1 species